CCCAAUGACGUUACAAUCGCGACGUGUUGACGUUUUAGAGAUUUCGCUUCUUUUCUCACUUUUUAUAUACGUGUCAACUAAACUUUGCGCGUCCGGCCUUUGAGCCUCUAAUCUUAGGAAAAACUGACAAAUAACUAUUAAUCAAAUAAAAUGGCACCGAAACAGAGAAUGCGCAUCGCUAACGAAAUUGCAAGCAAGAACAUCACAAUGCGAGGAAAUGUACCUAAAACAACUAAGGAAAAAGAUGACCAGUACCCCGUAGCACCCUGGUUAUUGGCUCUCUUUAUCUUUGUAGUAUGCGGAUCUGCGGUCUUCCAAAUUAUACAAUCGAUCAGGCUCGCUUAAAACUAGUGACUUUCCGACUGAUAAUUUAGUGUCCAGUGUUAAGGUGCUUGUGGCAUUUCCAUCUUUAAAGCAGUCUUCUAGAACCUUCUAGACUUCCUAACCUAACAUUCUAUAUGCCACAUGUUCCUUUGUCCGUUUUGUAAUUAGGAAAUUAGACCCAAUUGUGAUCUUUAUCUGGUCUUCAUCUUCCAAUCAAUGCAGGUCACUUAGUUAUAAUCUCAUAAACAUAUUAAUGUACUAUAUUCUUGUAUAUUAUAAAAUAAUGAUUUUCUUUUUAAUAUCAAAAUUAAUUUAGAUUUCAUUUUGUCAACGCACAAUGAUUUUGUUUCUGCAAAAUCUUGUUUAUAUUUUUUUUUAAUAUUAUAUGAUUUUAUUAUUAAUUAAUGAAAUUAUUUUUAUGAUUUAUCUGAAAGCCACUGUUACGUGAAAAUUAUUUGUCGGUGAAUUUAUAUUUUAAUUUUAAUUGUAAUUUAUUUGAUUAAAUACAGUAUAUUUGUC